GGAGUUGUAGUUUCGUGGGUCCUGGAGCGGCCCCGUUCCCAUCUCCCUUCUGGAUCGCAGCCCCGCUGCCCUUCAGGAAAGCGCUGCCCCGGCCACCCACGCUGGCCUAUGCGGUGGCUCCGACCGUGUUUUUUGCCGGACGGGGGCUCGGCCUUGGGGGGGCGCGGAGGUGAAACUACACUUCCCGGAGUGCACCGCGAGGGUCGCGCAGCCACGCGUUAAAGAGCCCGCUCCGCCGAGCGCCGAGCGCCGGGCGACGGCAGGAAGCCCCUCCGCUUGGCCAGAAUGGAGCAGCCGAAGGGAGUUGAUUGGACAGUCAUCAUCCUGACCUGCCAGUACAAGGACAGUGUCCAGGUCUUUCAGAGAGAACUGGAAGUGCGGCAGAAGCGGGAGCAGAUCCCUGCUGGGACGCUGUUACUGGCUGUGGAGGACCCAGAGAAGCGUGUGGGCAGCGGAGGAGCCACCCUCAACGCCCUGCUGGUGGCUGCUGAACACCUGAGUGCCCGGGCAGGCUUCACUGUGGUCACAUCCGAUGUCCUGCACUCGGCCUGGAUCCUCAUUCUGCACAUGGGUCGAGACUUCCCCUUUGAUGACUGUGGCAGGGCCUUCACCUGCCUCCCCAUGGAGAACCCCGAGGGCCCCGUGGAAGCCUUGGUCUGCAACCUGGACUGCCUGCUGGACAUCAUGACCUAUCGGCUAGGCCCGGGCUCCCCGCCAGGCGUGUGGGUCUGCAGCACCGACAUGCUGCUGUCUGUUCCUGCAAAUCCUGGGAUCAGCUGGGACAGCUUCCGGGGAGCCAGAGUGAUCGCCCUCCCAGGGAGCCCGGCCUACGCUCAGAAUCAUGGCGUCUACCUAACUGACCCCCAGGGCCUUGUUUUGGACAUUUACUACCAGGGCACUGAGGCAGAGAUUCAGCGGUGUGUCAGGCCUGAUGGGCGGGUGCCACUGGUCUCUGGGGUUGUCUUCUUCUCUGUGGAGACUGCCGAGUGCCUCCUAGCCACCCACGUGAGCCCGCCCCUGGAUGCCUGCACCUACCUAGGCUUGGACUCCGGAGCCCGGCCUGUCCAGCUGUGCUUCUUCCCCUUCCCCCAGCUGUCUCUGUUUUUUGACAUUCUCCACUGCAUGGCUGAGAACGUGACCAGGGAGGACUUCCUGGUUGGGAGGCCCCCAGAGUUGGGGCAAGGCGAUGCAGAUGUAGCGGGUUAUCUGCAGAGCGCCCGGGCCCAGCUGUGGAGGGAGCUUCGCGAUCAGCCCCUUACCAUGGCCUAUGUCUCCAGCGGCAGCUACAGCUACAUGACCUCCUCAGCCAGUGAGUUCCUGCUCAGCCUCACACUCCCCGGGGCUCCUGGGGCCCAGAUUGUGCACUCCCAGGUGGAGGAGCAGCAGCUCCUGGCGGCCGGGAGCUCUGUGGUCAGCUGCCUGCUGGAGGGCCCUGUCCGGCUGGGUCCUGGGAGCGUCCUGCAGCACUGCCACCUGCGGGGCCCCAUUCACAUAGGUGCUGGCUGCUUGGUGACUGGUCUGGAUGCAGCCCACUCCAAGGCCCUGCAUGGCCGGGAGCUGCGUGACCUUGUCCUGCAGGGACACCACACGCGGCUACACGGCUCCCUGGGCCAUGCCUUCACCCUCGUUGGCCGUCUGGACAGCUGGGAGAGACAGGGGGCAGGCACAUAUCUCAACGUGCCCUGGAGUGAAUUCUUCAAGAGGACAGGUGUUCGAGCCUGGGACCUGUGGGACCCCGACACGCUGCCCGCAGAGUACUGCCUUCCCAGCGCCCGCCUCUUUCCUGUGCUCCACCCCUCGAGGGAGCUGGGACCCCAGGACCUGCUGUGGAUGCUGGACCACCAGGAGGAUGGGGGCGAGGCCCUGCGAGCCUGGCGAGCCUCCUGGCGCCUGUCCUGGGAGCAGCUGCAGCCGUGCCUGGAUCGGGCUGCCACGCUGGCCUCUCGCCGGGACCUGUUCUUCCGCCAGGCCCUGCAUAAGGCGCGGCACGUGCUGGAGGCCCAGCAGGACCUCAGCCUGCGCCCGCUGAUCUGGGCUGCUGUCCGCGAGGGCUGCCCCGGGCCCCUGCUGGCCACGCUGGACCAGGUUGCAGCUGGGGCAGGAGACCCUGGCGUGGCAGCACGGGCACUGGCCUGUGUGGCGGAUGUCCUGGGCUGCAUGGCAGAGGGCCGUGGGGGCUUGCGGAGCGGGCCAGCUGCCAACCCUGAGUGGAUGCGGCCCUUCUCAUACCUGGAGUGUGGAGACCUGGCAGCGGGCGUGGAGGCACUUGCCCAGGAGAGGGACAAGUGGCUAAGCAGGCCAGCCUUGCUGGUGCGAGCGGCCCGCCACUAUGAGGGGGCUGGUCAGAUCCUGAUCCGCCAGGCUGUGAUGUCAGCGCAGCACUUUGUCUCCACAGAGCAGGUGGAACUGCCGGGACCUGGGCAGUGGGUGGUGGCUGAGUGCCCGGCCCGUGUGGAUUUCUCUGGGGGCUGGAGUGACACGCCACCCCUUGCCUAUGAGCUUGGCGGGGCUGUGCUGGGCCUGGCUGUGCGAGUGGACGGCCGCCGGCCCAUCGGAGCCAGGGCACGCCGCAUCCCGGAGCCUGAGCUGUGGCUGGCGGUGGGGCCUCGGCAGGAUGAGAUGACUGUGAAGAUAGUGUGCCGGUGCCUGGCUGACCUGCGGGACUACUGCCAGCCUCAUGCCCCAGGGGCCCUGCUGAAGGCGGCCUUCAUCUGUGCAGGGAUUGUGCAUGUCCACUCGGAACUCCAGCUGAGUGAGCAGCUGCUCCGCACCUUUGGGGGCGGCUUUGAGCUGCACACCUGGUCUGAGCUGCCCCACGGCUCUGGCCUGGGCACCAGCAGCAUCCUGGCAGGCACUGCCCUGGCUGCCUUGCAGCGAGCCGCAGGCCGGGUGGUGGGCACGGAAGCCCUGAUCCACGCAGUGCUGCACCUGGAGCAGGUGCUCACCACUGGAGGUGGCUGGCAGGACCAAGUAGGUGGCCUAAUGCCUGGCAUCAAGGUGGGGCGCUCCCGGGCUCAGCUGCCACUGAAGGUGGAGGUAGAAGAGGUCACGGUGCCUGAGGGCUUUGUCCAGAAGCUCAAUGACCACCUGCUCUUGGUGUACACUGGCAAGACCCGCCUGGCUCGGAACCUGCUGCAGGAUGUGCUGAGGAGCUGGUAUGCCCGACUUCCUGCUGUGGUGCAGAAUGCCCACAGCCUGGUGCGGCAAACUGAGGAGUGUGCUGAAGGCUUCCGCCAAGCAGCACGUCUUGGCACUUCAUGCAAUCUCCAGAUGGGUGCUGAGUAUCUUGGCCCAGGCACGUCACUCCCCUCUGCCCCACCUCAGGAAGCCUGCCUCUGCUGGGCCAGUGCCUGACCUCAUACUGGGAGCAGAAGAAGCUCAUGGCUCCAGGCUGUGAGCCCCUGACUGUGCGGCGUAUGAUGGAUGUCCUGGCCCCCCACGUGCAUGGCCAGAGCCUGGCUGGGGCAGGCGGUGGAGGCUUUCUCUAUCUGUUGACCAAGGAGCCACAGCAAAAGGAGGCCUUGGAGGCGGUGCUGGCCAAGACCGAGGGCCUUGGGAAUUACAGCAUCCACCUGGUUGAAGUGGACACUCAGGGCCUGAGCCUGAAGCUGCUGGGGACCGAGGCCUCAACCUGUUGCCCUUUCCCAUGAAGCUGGCUUCUCUCUGCAACAGGAGAAAACCUGGAGCUACAGUGUCCCCCACCUUCCUUGCCCCAUGGGAACCUCCACCUCCUACUCCCCACCCACCUCUGCGAAUCUGCUCCCAAAGGGAGCUGACCAGAGCAAGAUCUGGGCAAGCAGAGAGUGCCUGGGACAGGACUGUGACCUGGUGGACAGUGGCCUAGGUGUAGCCUCUGUUCCUCCUGGACAUAGGAAGAUCCCAAGCUUAGUAUCCCACGUGGCCUUUACAAAUCCUAUGGCUGGCCUUCUCAUUCCACAAGGGCCCUGGAAAGGGUUGACAGCCAGCCUUGGCAUAUGGCUGGGAGUCCCUUAGCAAGGCCAACCCUGAAGAGGCCCUUCGAGACAUUCCCUAUGGCUUAGAGUUGUAGACUUACACUCAACCCUCAUGUGAGUGUGGGAGUGAGGGUGGCGGUCCCUUGCCAAGUUGGUAGCAGUGACCCAGUGAUUCACUGCCAUCCCAGGCCUUAACUAGCAAAACUACGGAGCGUGCCAAGUGACCUGGUGCCUGUGGGAAGUGGGUUCUCAGGACUGGCAUUCUUGGAAUAAAUUCACUCUGUCCUUGCA